rnacentral:rRNA from 1 species
AGUGAACGCUGGCGGUAGGCCUAACACAUGCAAGUCGAACGAGGGGCGGACGGGUGAGGAAUACGUCGGACUCUACUAUGUCGGGGGGGAUAAAGUAGGGACACUUACUCUAAUCCCGCAUACGAUUGAAUGCGCCGAUGUCGGAUUAGCUAGUUGGCGGGGUAAAGGCCCACCAAGGCGACGAUCCGUAGCUGGUCUGAGAGGAUGAUCAGCCACACUGGAACUGAGACACGGUCCAGACUCCUACGGGAGGCAGCAGUGGGGAAUAUUGGACAAUGGGCGCAAGCCUGAUCCAGCCAUGCCGCGUGGGUGAAGAAGGCCUUAGGGUUGUAAAGCACUUUUAUUCGGGAGGCGGUACCCACAGAAUAAGCACCGGCUAACUUCGUGCCAGCCGCCGCGGUAAUUC